rnacentral:rRNA from 1 species
CCUACGGGAGGCUGCAGUGAGGAAUAUUGGUCAAUGGUCGGGAGACUGAACCAGCCAAGCCGCGUGAGGGAUGAAGGUACAGAGUAUCGUAAACCUCUUUUGUCAGGGAACAAAGGCGGGUACGUGUCCCCUGAUGAGUGUACCUGUCGAAAAAGCAUCGGCUAACUCCGUGCCAGCAGCCGCGGUAAUCCGGAGUAUGCGAGCGUUAUCCGGAUUUAUUGGGUUUAAAGGGUGCGCGGGCGGUCUGUUAAGUCAGCGGUAAAAGCCGGGGGCUCAACCCCGGCCCGCCGUUGAAACUGGCAGUCGCGAGUGGGAGAGAAGUAUGCGGAAUGCGCGGUGUAGCGGGGAAAUGCAUAGAGAGCGCGAAGAACUCUGAGUGCGAAGGCAGCAUGCCGGAUCCACACUGACGCUGAGGCACGAAAGCGUGGGUAUCGAACAGGAUUAGAUACCCUUGUAGUC